rnacentral:lncRNA from 1 species
AGCAUUUCUUUUGCAGAAAGAGCAGUGGUUUCUCAAGGGAUCUCCAAAUACCGCCCCCCUCUCCAAGUAUGCUUUUGUACAUUCAUUUUUCUUUUAUAUGCGAAUGACAGCUGUACAAGGCAUGACUGUAGGUUAGUUACCAUCCAUAUGCCCCUUUAUCCGGAAAUACUGGUUUUAGUUUCUUGAUAUGUUAGUUAUCAUCCAUAUGUCCCCUUAUCCAGGUGUGCUUUUGUACAUUCAUUAUCCUUUUAUAUGCGAAUUAUAAGGCAUAGAUGUAGGUUACUUAUCAUCCAUACAUCCCCUUAUCUAGAAAUGUUGAUUUUUUUUUUUUUACUUAAAAUCAAGAAUAAAUUAAGUUAUCCAAUGGUGUUUGGACAGAAAUUAGUUAAAACUAAGUUUACUAUUUUUAGGCUUAGUCAAACUUUUUUCAUCUUCAACUCUUUGUGUGCAUUGCUAACUUGAACUCAAAGACUUAAUAUAUGGCAACUGUAAUUUGAUUUCGUGUGCAUUUGGGAAUUUUGGUCGAAGCACUUCUUUCGUUUUUAUUUUGCUUAUAUGCCGUCGACCCCAGCAAGCCCUAUUCAAUUGCCUUUUUGCGAGAUUGCGUUCAUGACAACUGGAAAAUGAUUGCAUUGAUUUUCUCAGCCGCUGUCAGGUUUAAAACUUCUUUAGGGCUAUGGAUGGGUUGCUGCACGUUCGUAUGUGGGUAGAGAAAUUUUUUGUCUUUAGUAAGAUAUCAAAUAGAAUCACUUAUAGUGGAUUAUAUACUAUACUGAACCGGAAGCAUACCACUACUAGAACUCAAAAUUUGUAACACUGUUUUAGAGCAAAAUAGGGGCUUUGCUGUUGAAAUUAGAGAUGUUACGUUUCUAAAUUGUAUGAACCAUUACAAUUUCUUAUCCAAAAGAUGCAAUUUGAUGCAGCCAAACAUGUUGAGAAAAAAGACACCGAACCAAAUUCAUUUCCAAAAACCAGCAGAGGAAAGCCUGCAAAAUGGUUUUGUUACCAGUUGGAAUAAAUAGCCUAAGCAACAUUUCUUCCAAUUUAAGCGGGGGUGGAAGAAACCAUUCAUCAACAGGCUGGCUGCUUCUCUGUACUUUGACACAAUUAAAUCAACGUGAACCGAGUCUUAUUUUGAAUCUUCUUAUUUACCAUACUAUGCUUUGGAGUUGGUUCUUUGCAUAUAAGUUAGAAUAUUGAUCUUGUCUUUGGGGUAUAGUAUCUUCAAUUUCUUCCCAAGUUUG